rnacentral:lncRNA from 1 species
AGCCCUGCACGCGUGGAGCGGUGGCACUGCCAACCGCGCAGGAGCCUUGUGACAAGAUAGAGGGAUUCAGAGAGACCAGAGACUCCUGGGUGUUGCUCCUCUCUAGAACCCUGUCGACACCCUAGGGAUGUCUCUUAUAAGGAUCCACGCCUGGUAACCUCAGAGUGAAUUUCUACAAGAUUAGGGUUUGCUGAAAUGGCAGAGAGGAAAGAGACCUGGGGGUACAUCAGAGGUGAACUUCAGUAACACACAACAAUCACAGAACUACAUCAACAACACCACAGCUACAGGCAUGCUUUCUACAUAGAUUUUUUUUUUCUUUUUGCAAGUAAACCAGAUUGCAAUAUUAAAUGACCGAUGUUAGUAAGUAUGAAUUCAAGUAGCGAAUGUUUGAAAUAUAAAUUUUAUACAGGUAGAAUGAAAUAUUAUGAAAGUGUUUCUACAUGAAUCUAGAAAUGAGAACAAUUUUAGAAAAUGUGUGUGUGGAUUAUGCACUCCGGAACGCGGAUAUUCUUGAAAACAAUUAGACAGCAUACUAAAAUAUGUUUACUCAGUCAGGGAGCAUGAUGGAAGAGGAGACAAAACAAAUAUAAGAGCCAGAAGGAAGAUAAAGAGGAGCGCUGCCUCAGGCUAUCUCCAAGUACCACAUAGCCUUCAAAGUCCUGAAAUCGCAGCAGCCACGCCCACUGCACUGGGCUGUUAACAGGAAAUCAUGGGUCCCAGGGGACCGAAGCUCUCCUGCAUGAACUAUUGACUACUGAUGAAUUCUGGAGGAGGGACAGUUAUUUCGUUCACUUGGGUCCCCAGAAGUGAGCCCACCAGGCUCUACUGGCUAGCUACCAACCCACGUUGACACAGAUGUGUCUGGUUAUGCUCAGGUGGUGACAAAUCAAAAAAAAAAAAAANAACAACAACAAAAAAAAAACAAGCGUUGAGUGUAGAAAGGGACCUGUAGGGGAAGACAGGAAGGGGAGGAAGAUAAAGGAGGGAAAAGUGAGAGGCAUCACAGCACAUUAUAAACAUAUUUGAAAUUGUCAAAGACUAAACUU